GGGUUUUUAGCUCAGCGGUAGAGCGUGGGACUCAUAAUCCUUUGGUCACAAGUUCAAAUCUUGUAAAGCCCA
rnacentral:tRNA from 1 species